rnacentral:rRNA from 1 species
UACGUAGGGCGCAAGCGUUAUCCGGAAUUAUUGGGCGUAAAGAGCUCGUAGGCGGUUUGUCGCGUCUGCCGUGAAAGUCCGGGGCUCAACUCCGGAUCUGCGGUGGGUACGGGCAGACUAGAGUGAUGUAGGGGAGACUGGAAUUCCUGGUGUAGCGGUGAAAUGCGCAGAUAUCAGGAAGAACACCCGUGGCGAAGGCG